rnacentral:tRNA from 1 species
ACCGCGAUAGCUCAGCUGGUAGAGCACUGCCCGGUAUGCGGAGGGUCGCCGCUCGAUUCCGGCUCGCGGCG